rnacentral:misc_RNA from 1 species
GAUGAAGAACGUAGCGAAAUGCGAUAACUAAUGUGAAUUGCAGAAUUCAGUGAAUCAUCGAGUCUUUGAACGCACAUUGCGCCCCCUGGUAUUCCGGGGGGCAUGCCUGUCCGAGCGUCAUUGCUGCCCUCAAGCACGGCUUGUGUGUUGGGCUCCGUCCCCCCGGGGACGGGCCCGAAAGGCAGCGGCGGCACCGAGUCCAGUCCUCGAGCGUAUGGGGCUUUGUCACCCGCUCUGUAGGCCCGGCCGGCGCCAGCCGACAACCCAUCAUCCUUUUCAGGUUGACCUCGGAUCAGGUAGGGAUACCCGCUGAACUUAAGCAUAUCAAUAAGCGGAGGA